rnacentral:rRNA from 1 species
AUACGGAGGAUCCGAGCGUUAUCCGGAUUUAUUGGGUUUAAAGGGUGCGCAGGCGGCCAUUUAAGUCAGCGGUUAAAUCGUGGGGCUCAACCCCAUUCUGCCGUUGAUACUGGGUGGCUUGAUUGCGGUCGAGGUUGGCGGAAUUCGUUGUGUAGCGGUGAAAUGCAUAGAUAUGACGAAGAACACCGAUUGCGUAGGCAGCUGACCAGACCGCAAAUGACGCGCAUGCACGAAGGUGCGGGGAUCGAACAGGAUUAGAUACCCUGGUAGACCGCACAGUAAACGAUGAAUACUUGUUUUCGGCGAUAUAAUGUCGGAGGCAAAGCGAAAGCGAUAAGUAUUCCACCUGGGGAGUACGCCGGCAACAGUGAAACUCAAAUGAAUUGACGGGG